rnacentral:misc_RNA from 1 species
AAGUCGUAACAAGGUAUCCGUAGGUGAACCUGCGGAUGGAUCAUUAUCAAAAUCAAUAUAACGUUAUCCCAAAAUAACGUUUAUAUAAACCAAUCUGUGAACUGUUCUCUGCCUUUGAGAAGUGGGAGUAAUGGAUUGAAAGAUGCUACGAGUUUUUAUAGUGAACUCAAUUCUUUCAAUUCGUUCUAUGGAUUUAAUCGUUCAUAGAAGCUCUUAUUUUUCAAAGUGUAUAUCACUAUUAAACAUUAACCAAUUUAACCAAAUAUACUAAUAUUUUAUUCUAUGUGUGAACUGAAUUGUUUUCUUACUCUUACUUAAAACUGAGAGAAGAAAUCUAUUCUACGAAACAUAUUGAACAACUCUUAGCAACGGAUAUCUUGGUUCUCG